GCUUACUUUGACAACACAUAUACUAAAAUUGGAACGAUACAGAGAAUAUUAGCAUAGCCCCUGCACAAGGAUAAUAUGCAAGAAUCUAAAAAAUAAU
ensembl:snRNA U6 U6 spliceosomal RNA